rnacentral:ncRNA from 2 species
UACGGAGGGUGCAAGCGUUGUCCGGAUUUAUUGGGUUUAAAGGGUGCGUAGGCGGGUAAUUAAGUCAGUGGUGAAAGCCCACAGCUCAACUGUGGAACCGCCAUUGAUACUGGUUAUCUUGAGUGUAGUUGAGGCAGGCGGAAUUUACGAUGUAGCGGUGAAAUGCAUAGAUAUCGUAAAGAACACCUAUAGCGAAGGCAGCUUGCUAAGCUACUACUGACGCUGAGGCACGAAAGCAUGGGGAGCGAACAGG